UACGGAGGGUGCAAGCGUUGUCCGGAUUUAUUGGGUUUAAAGGGUGCGUAGGCGGCCUGAUAAGUCAGCGGUGAAAGUUCGGGGCUCAACCCCGAAACUGCCGUUGAAACUGUUGGGCUUGAGUGCCGACGGGGUACAUGGAAUUUAUGGUGUAGCGGUGAAAUGCAUAGAUACCAUAAGGAACACCGAUAGCGAAGGCAUUGUACUGGUCGGCAACUGACGCUGAGGCACGAAAGCGCGGGUAGCGAACAGG
rnacentral:misc_RNA from 1 species